rnacentral:rRNA from 1 species
ACUCCUACGGGUGGCUGCAGUGGGGAAUAUUGCGCAAUGGGGGGAACCCUGACGCAGCCAUGCCGCGUGAAUGAAGAAGGCCUUCGGGUUGUAAAGUUCUUUCGGUAUUGAGGAAGGUUGAUGUGUUAAUAGCACAUCAAAUUGACGUUAAAUACAGAAGAAGCACCGGCUAACUCCGUGCCAGCAGCCGCGGUAAUACGGAGGGUGCGAGCGUUAAUCGGAAUAACUGGGCGUAAAGGGCACGCAGGCGGUUAUUUAAGUGAGGUGUGAAAGCCCUGGGCUUAACCUAGGAAUUGCAUUUCAGACUGGGUAACUAGAGUACUUUAGGGAGGGGUAGAAUUCCACGUGUAGCGGUGAAAUGCGUAGAGAUGUGGAGGAAUACCGAAGGCGAAGGCAGCCCCUUGGGAAUGUACUGACGCUCAUGUGCGAAAGCGUGGGGAGCAAACAGGAUUAGAUACCCUGGUAGUCCACGCUGUAAACGCUGUCGAUUUGGGGAUUGGGCUUUGAGCUUGGUGCCCGUAGCUAACGUGAUAAAUCGACCGCCUGGGGAGUACGGCCGCAAGGUUAAAACUCAAAUGAAUUGACGGGGGCCCGCACAAGCGGUGGAGCAUGUGGUUUAAUUCGAUGCAACGCGAAGAACCUUACCUACUCUUGACAUCCUAAGAAGAGCUCAGAGAUGAGCUUGUGCCUUCGGGAACUUAGAGACAGGUGAUGCAUGGAUGUCGUCAGCUCGUG